rnacentral:rRNA from 1 species
CGGAGGAAAAGAAACUAACUAGGAUUCCCUCAGUAGCGGCGAGCGAAGCGGGAAGAGCCCGGGAUGAAAAUCUCUUUGGAGAGUUGUAGUCCAGGUAGCCCCGAGUGGGUCAGUGAGGGCAAGUUGCAUGGAAUUGUGCGCCAAGGAGGGUGAGAGCCCCGUCCACCCCUCACAGGACUUGCUCACACGGGGGUGCCUUACGGCGAGUCGGGUAGCUUGAGAAUGCUGCUCCAAUUGGUGGUAAACCUCAUCAAAGGCUAAAUAGUGGUGGGAGACCGAUAGCGAACAAGUACCGUAAGGGAAAGAUGGAAAGCACUUUGAAAAGAGGGUGAAAAGCGCCUGAAACCGUCACGGGGGAAGCGGAUUGCGUGAGUGAGGGCCAGUGCAUUGUUCAACCACGCCAUUGUUUUUUGUGUGGUGCAUUCAGUGCGGGCUGUGUCGGUGUGACUGUGUGUGUGUGUGUUGGAAUAUGCAGCACUACACGGUGAGGGCUCCCCUUUUUAUGGGUUUUCGAGGACAUCGACUAAAUAACGCGACCCGACCCGUCUUGAAACACGGACCAAGGAGUCUAGCACUACUGCGAGUCGACGGGUGCAUAAAACCCAUGGGCGCAGUGAAAGCAAAGUGUACACAGAUGAAAAAAGAACACAUCGGGGAGGCUGGAAUGACGUUGUCUGAAGGUUCUACCCAGAGCAGUUGUGCUGGGACCCGAAAGAUGGUGAACUAUGCCGGAAUAGGGCAAAGCCAGAGGAAACUCUGGUGGAGGCUCGUAGCGAUGCUGACGUGCAAAUCGCUCGUCGAAUUUGGGUAUAGGGGCGAAAGACUAAUCGAACCAUCUAGUAGCUGGUUCCCUCCGAAGUUUCUCUCAGGAUAGCGGGCCGACAUGAUUUUAACUAUCACGUUGUUUUGUGCGGUAAAGCGAAUGAUUAGCGCAUUUGGGGAUGAAACAUCUUCUGGCGAUUCUCAAACUUUAAAUGCGCAAGAGAGUGUUGUAUUGGGUUGCUUUGUUUGAACCCCACUCUGAAAACGUCGGCCCUGUGGGCCACUUUUGGUAAGCAGAACUGGCGAUACGGGAUGAACCGUAAGCGUGGUUAAGGCGUCAAAUUGGUCGCUUAAAGAUCCCACAAAAGGCGUUGAUUCAUCCAGACAGCAGGACGGUGGCCAUGGAAGUUGGAAUCCGCUAAGGAGUGUGUAACAACUCACCUGCCGAAUGAAUUAGCCCUGAAAAUGGAUGACGCUGAAGCGAGCAGCCGACACCACGCCGUUUAAGCAAAUUUUGGUAUAUGUGGCUUAAAUGAGUAGGAGGGCGUGGCGGUCUUGUGAGGAAGGUGUAGACGCAAGUCUCACUGAAACGGCCGCUAGUGCAGAUCUUGGUGGUAGUAGCAAAUAUUCAAGCGAGAUCCUUGAAGGGCGAAGCGGGGAAGGGUUCCACGCGAACAGUGAUUGGGCGUGGGUGAGUCGUUCCUAAGCCGGCUGGUAAUUGUUGUUACAAACUACGGCGAAAGGGAAGCGGGUUAAAAGUUCCCGCACACGGAUGUGGAGGCGGUGACGCAAACUGAGGCGAACACGCUGGCGACGGCGCUGGGCAGAGUUGUCUUUUCUGUUUGACCUGCGAGAUGCACGGUGUGGAAUCCGAUUAUCGGGAGAAACACGUGCCGAGGGGCAGAGCGCCGGGCUUUUUCCGGCGUCCAGCACGCCGUCGACGGUCCAUGAAAAUUUGCCUGCGAAAUAAUUUCACGCCGUGGCGUACCGAUAACCGCAUCAGGUCCCCAAGGUGAACAGCCUCUGCUCUAUAUGAACAAUGCAGGUAAGGGAAGUCGGCAAAAUGGACCCGUAACUUUGGGAAAAGGGUUGGCUCUAGUGGGGCGGGGGAUUCGCGGCGCGUGCGCCUUUUUGUUACGCACACCCCCGUGUGCGUUCGAGAGGGGGGCACGGCGCUACGAGCAAAAAAGGACGCUGUGGGUGUGUGGUGGUUGCGGCGGCUGUGGCUACCCGGUCGGGCCCCGAAAGGGGAACACGGGUUCGGCUGCGGUUUUGUUUUUGUUCUUUCUUUAACUUUGCUGUGGCUAUUGUGCACGCACUGGGUCCGCCUCCAGCAUGCUCCAGACUAGAACUGCAACGGGCAAGGGGAAUCCGACUGUUUAAUUAAAACAAAGCAUUGCGAUGGCCGGGGACGGUGAAGACGCAAUGUGAUUUCUGCUCAGUGCUCUGAAUGUCAAAGUGAAGAGAUUCAACCAAGCGCGGGUAAACAGCGGGAGUAACUAUGACUCUCUUAAGGUAGCCAAAUGCCUCGUCAUCUAAUUAGUGACGCGCAUGAAUGGAUUAACGAGAUUCCUACUGUCCCUAUCUGCUUCUAGCGAAACCACAGCCGAGGGAACGGGCUCGGCGAAAUCGGCGGGGAAAGAAGACCCUGUUGAGCUUGACUCUAUUCUAAUUUUGUGAAGCAAGUUAGGAGGUGUAGCAUAGGUGGGAGUCCCCUGCGGACGGCAAUGAAAUACCACUACUCCUAAUCUUGCUUUACUUAUGGCGUGAGCCUGCACGGCCGAAUGGCCUAUUUUGGCGUCAAUUUGGGCGCAUAUGGGGGGCUUGGGUUUUUGUUUGCGCCCACAAGGCGCGCAGGAUCCGGGUCGCUCAUGCCUAAAAAGCAGCGCGCCUGACACAUUUAGGAGGGGAGUUUGGCUGGGGCGGCACAUCUUCUACAAGACAACGAAGGUGUCCAAAGAUGAGCUCAGUGAGAACGGAAAUCUCACGUAGCGCAAAAGGGUAAAAGCUUGUUUGAUUUUGAUUUUCAGUGUGAGUUAAAAACACGAAAGUGUGGCCUAUCGAUCCUUUCACGAUUCGAGGUUUUGAAGCGAGAGGUGUCAGAAAAGUUACCACAGGGAUAACUGGCUUGUGGCGGCCAAGCGUUCAUAGCGACGUCGCUUUUUGAUCCUUCGAUGUCGGCUC